GGGCCAUUAGCUCAGGUGGUUAGAGCGCACCCCUGAUAAGGGUGAGGUCCCUGGUUCCAGUCCAGUAUGGCCCA
rnacentral:tRNA from 1 species